GGUUAGGCGUAGGCGGGUAGGUAAGGUCAGUGGUGAAAUCCUGGAGCUCAACUCCAGAACUGCCAUUGAUACUAUCUAUCUUGAAUAUUGUGGAGGUAAGCGGAAUAUGUCAUGUAGCGGUGAAAUGCUUAGAUAUGACAUAGAACACCCAUUGCGAAGGCAGCUUACUACGCAUAUAUUGACGCUGAGGCACGAAAGCGUGGGGAUCAAACAGGAUUAGAUACCCGGGU
rnacentral:rRNA from 1 species